rnacentral:rRNA from 1 species
CCUAGGGUGGGCAGCAGUGGGGAAUAUUGGACAAUGGGCGAAAGCCUGAUCCAGCCAUGCCGCGUGUGUGAAGAAGGCCUUCGGGUUGUAAAGCACUUUCAGUGGGGAAGAAAGCCUUGGGGCUAAUACCCUCGAGGAAGGACAUCACCCACAGAAGAAGCACCGGCUAACUCCGUGCCAGCAGCCGCGGUAAUACGGAGGGUGCGAGCGUUAAUCGGAAUUACCGGGCGUAAAGCGCGCGUAGGCGGUCUGAUAAGCCGGUUGUGAAAGCCCCGGGCUCAACCUGGGAACGGCAUCCGGAACUGUCAGGCUAGAGUGCAGGAGAGGAAGGUAGAAUUCCCGGUGUAGCGGUGAAAUGCGUAGAGAUCGGGAGGAAUACCAGUGGCGAAGGCGGCCUUCUGGACUGACACUGACGCUGAGGUGCGAAAGCGUGGGUAGCAAACAGGAUUAGAUACCCUGGUAGUC